GAUGAACGCUGGCGGCGUGCUUAACACAUGCAAGUCGAACGAGGAUUUAACGGAAUGCGAUUCGUCAAAUGAAAUUAAAUCCGAGUGGCGGACGGGUGAGUAACGCGUGGAUAACCUGCCUCACACAGGGGGACAACAGUUGGAAACGACUGCUAAUACCGCAUAACACAAGUAAUUCGCAUGAAUAACUUGCCAAAGAUUAUAUCGGUGUGAGAUGGAUCCGCGUCUGAUUAGCCAGUUGGCGGGGUAACGGCCCACCAAAGCGACGAUCAGUAGCCGACCUGAGAGGGUGACCGGCCACAUUGGGACUGAGACACGGCCCAAACUCCUACGGGAGGCAGCAGUGGGGAAUAUUGCACAAUGGGGGAAACCCUGAUGCAGCGACGCCGCGUGAGUGAUGAAGUAUUUCGGUAUGUAAAACUCUAUCAGCAGGGAAGAUAAUGACGGUACCUGACUAAGAAGCACCGGCUAAAUACGUGCCAGC
rnacentral:rRNA from 1 species